GAUGCUUUAGUGCCUUCGGGAACUCUGAGACAGGUGCUGCAUGGCUGUCGUCAGCUCGUGUUGUGAAAUGUUGGGUUAAGUCCGCAACGAGCGCAACCCUUAUCCUUUGUUGCCAGCACGUAAUGGUGGGAACUCAAAGGAGACUGCCGGUGAUAAACCGGAGGAAGGUGGGGAUGACGUCAAGUCAUCAUGGCCCUUACGAGUAGGGCUACACACGUGCUACAAUGGCGUAUACAAAGAGAAGCGACCUCGCGAGAGCAAGCGGACCUCAUAAAGUGCGUCGUAGUCCGGAUUGGAGUCUGCAACUCGACUCCAUGAAGUCGGAAUCGCUAGUAAUCGUAAAUCAGAAUGUUACGGUGAAUACGUUCCCGGGCCUUGUACACACCGCCCGUCACACCAUGGGAGUGGGUUGCAAAAGAAGUAGAUAGCUUAACCUUCGGGAGGGCGUUUACCACUUUGUGAUUCAUGACUGGGGUGAAGUCGUAACAAGGUAAGCGUAGUGCU
rnacentral:rRNA from 1 species